rnacentral:lncRNA from 1 species
AAGUCAUGUAACAAAAAUCAGAUAAUGGAUAAAGCCAACUAUAAAAAUUAUUCUAAGCUCGAAUUCUUGAACCAUGAAACAGAGAUUCUGGGUUCGUUCCCCAACAGAGUCGCCAGAGCUGUCACACCUCCUUUUUUACCUACACCCCCGAGAAGAGAGUAUAAGGGGAGUUUUUCCAAUUAAAGGACAAUCGAAAUGGGAUUUAUUUAUCAAAAGAAUCAGAGUCACCACUUGGGAUAUUUAUGGUGUCCCAAGUCACCGGUUCAAACCCCGAAUCGAGGAAAAGGUUGACUCUGUUUAACAGUCCGCGAACCAGAAAUUCGGGUAAGGAAUUCUGUUAAUCCGGGAGAAGGUGUUAGGCAUUCCCGAGUUCCGUGGUUCUAGCACGGUCGCUUAACUGUUAUAAUUGGCCUAUUUACUUGAUUUUAAUACAUGUUUAUCCUAUGGUGCAAUUUUAGCCUUAACUGCUUUAUUUGAUUUUUAAAGAAGAUUGAACGUCGUUUAAAACGUGCCUUUGGAUUGUGCCACAUGAAAUGCACCCGCAAUCCGGAACACAUCUUAUUCAACGUUUAGGAUUUGGAUUUGGGUCAUAUGAAAUGCACACCCAAGUCCCUUUAAUCUAAUUUGAUGUAGUUCAGCCAACGAGUAGCAACCCGAUCUCUAUACUGUGACAAAAUCAUGUUCAGCUAUAACCAUUUUGAGUAAACACAAGCAGAUAAUCGAGAGAGCAAAUUCAAAAUCACGGAGAACAAUUACAGAAAUAACAGGAUCAUAUCACCAAACAAAUAAUUAACAUUAAGCUUGAAUAAAACAAAUAGAGGAUGAAAGAGUUGAACCUCAAUAUAGCCGAAAAAUUGAUUGUUUCACUGCUUUGAACUCCAAAAUAUAACGAACUGCGGACGGAAACUCGAAUCGGCACCAGGAACUCGAACUCGAAUGCCUCAAUAAACUCACUUCAGUCGAACUCAAAUCCAAUUCCAGCACCUCAAGAGAAAUCCAUUUUUUUAAAACCAAAAUCCGAAAUAAAAAAUGAACUUUCUUUUGGUUUGUAUUUUUGCUGGACUAAAAAAGAAGACUAAAGCCAAUACUUAAGUUAAUAAAUAAUAAAGUGGUUUCCUAAAGAAGAGACACAAAAGAGAUUUUCAAUUUUCCAUUUUCCUUCGUCUUUUUCUGUUUGCCGUGUUCUCAUGUUUCCGUUUUUCUUUUCUUUUUUUUUUCUUUUUUUGUUUUCGUCUGUUUCCUAUUGUAAGACCAAGAUUCAAUUGUAUUUCCCUUCAACUUUAUGUCUUCCUCUGUUUGUGAUCGAUCCCCGUUCUUCCUCCACUGGUUUUUGUUUCGCCGUAUUCCCCUACUUUUCCUUUAUAUCUCUCAAAAAUAUUUUUGGUUCAGAGCUGCUGCACCAACGAGUUAAUGGUGGAAAGGGCGUGGUAAGAUGAGGUGGGGCGGCUGCUUCUUGUUUUUUUGUGGUGAGGGUGGAGUGAUCUUGUGAAGAUGAAGAAGAGAAAAUCCGAUUAGGUUGGAGGGGGGUUUGAAGAAGAAGACGGUGCAGGGGGUAGCGGGGAUGGUUGGUGUGCAGCCUUUUCAGCUGAUGCUUUCAGCUUUUGUUCCACUUUUUUCCGUUCC